ACGGGAGGCAGCAGUGGGGAAUAUUGCACAAUGGGGGAAACCCUGAUGCAGCGACGCCGCGUGAGUGAAGAAGCAUCUCGGUAUGUAAAGCUCUAUCAGCAGGGAAGAAAAUGACGGUACCUGACUAAGAAGCCCCGGCUAACUACGUGCCAGCAGCCGCGGUAAUACGUAGGGGGCAAGCGUUAUCCGGAAUUACUGGGUGUAAAGGGUGCGUAGGUGGUAUGGCAAGUCAGAAGUGAAAACCCAGGGCUUAACUCUGGGACUGCUUUUGAAACUGUCAGACUGGAGUGCAGGAGAGGUAAGCGGAAUUCCUAGUGUAGCGGUGAAAUGCGUAGAUAUUAGGAGGAACACCAGUGGCGAAGGCGGCUUGCUGGACGAUGACUGACGUUGAGGCUCGAAAGCGUGGGGAGCAAACAGGAUUAGAUACCCUGGUAGUCCACGCCGUAAACGAUGACUGCUAGGUGUCGGGUGGCAAAGCCAUUCGGUGCC
rnacentral:rRNA from 1 species